GUGGGGAAUUUUGGACAAUGGGCGCAAGCCUGAUCCAGCCAUUCCGCGUGCAGGAUGAAGGCCUUCGGGUUGUAAACUGCUUUUGUACGGAACGAAAAGGUUCUCUCUAAUACAGGGGGCUGAUGACGGUACCGUAAGAAUAAGCACCGGCUAACUACGUGCCAGCAGCCGCGGUAAUACGUAGGGUGCAAGCGUUAAUCGGAAUUACUGGGCGUAAAGCGUGCGCAGGCGGUGAUGUAAGACAGAUGUGAAAUCCCCGGGCUCAACCUGGGAACUGCAUUUGUGACUGCAUUGCUGGAGUGCGGCAGAGGGGGAUGGAAUUCCGCGUGUAGCAGUGAAAUGCGUAGAUAUGCGGAGGAACACCGAUGGCGAAGGCAAUCCCCUGGGCCUGCACUGACGCUCAUGCACGAAAGCGUGGGGAGCAAACAGGAUUAGAAACCCUAGUAGUCC
rnacentral:rRNA from 1 species